rnacentral:rRNA from 1 species
CCUACGGGAGGCAGCAGUGGGGAAUAUUGCACAAUGGGGGAAACCCUGAUGCAGCGACGCCGCGUGAGUGAAGAAGGGUUUCGGCGCGUAAAGCUCUGUCAGCGGGGAAGAAACACGGAUCGCGAGAGCCGCGGACGGUACGCGACCAAGAAGCCCCGGCGAACUACGUGCCAGCAGCCGCGGUAAGACGUAGGGGGCAAGCGGUCGCCGGCUUCACUGGGUGGAAAGGGAGCGUAGACGGCGAGACAAGGCUGGAGUGAAAGGCCGGGGCCCAACCCCGGGACUGCUCUGGAAACUGCCUGGCUGGAGUACCGGAGAGGUAAGUGGAAUUCCUAGUGUAGCGGUGAAAUGCGUAGAUAUUAGGAGGAACACCAGUGGCGAAGGCGGCUUACUGGACUGUAACUGACGUUGAGGCUCGAAAGCGUGGGGAGCAAACAGGAUUAGAUACCCUGGUAGUC